AGUGGAGCAGAGCCCUGACGUCAGCCCGGAGCUCCCCGGCCCACGCCGGCGGCCCCUGCUGUCCCUCCUGUCCCCGGCGCGGAAUCCGUCCCCACGCCCUUCUCCUUUAAAGGACAGCGCGCCGAGGGGGGCGGGCGACAGCCGGCGGUCCGUUCAGCUAUAGCCCCAGCACCUGGCAGGCAACAGAGGUUCAGUGACACAUUUGUUGAAUGAAUGCAAGUCAGGUUCUGGCUUUUAAUCAGCAGUGACCAGGCCAGAUGGAGGAGUCAGCAGCAUGGAGAGAAGACUCCAGGAGACUGGAUCAGGAGAGAAAAGACCCUGAAAUGGCACAGCAUGAAAUAAGACCUAACUGGAACAACUUGACUGGAACCAGUCCUAGCUGGUCAUUACCAUGGUGAGAGCCAGUGUCAUACAGGAGAUUAUACCUCACUACUGUAUUCUUUUGCUCUGUGGCUACUCUAUGAUGGCAGUUUUACAGGUCCUCCAGGAAUUGGCAACUACUAGUAUUACCAGUGGACACAGGCAAGAGUGGCUCCAAUCCUAGGGACUAUGGCCAUCUACCUCUUCUAAGCCAGACUUCAAGUACCAUGAAUUCCAGAAUUCUCUGCUCAGAAGGUCUUAAUUUCAAUUCCAGAACAGUUUGGGUCUGGAGUUCAUUCUCCUCCAAUGAUGGACCUCAAAACAGUUCACCCCAAGACCAAAGGAAUAACUAAGAGCUGGCAGUUUAUUGGUAACAGAUGGAGUUUGAGCAAGAUCCACUGAGGUAUGAGACAGAUAGGAAGGGGAAGAGAAAAUGGAGAGAAACCAGGAACCACAGAGGAGCCCAAGAAUGUAGAAUUCAAAUCUGAACUUCCAAGUUGUUUUGAAAACAUUUGUCAUGGUAGGAAGAUAGAACAUAUUUUUAUUCAGCCGUGUGUUAGGUUUUAUAACUUUUACAUAUUUAGACAUAUGUGUGCUUCCACUUAUAUAUUUUUUGGGUCCCUAAAGAGGUAGGGUUAGGCCUAUUAGCUGCCAGUAAGGCAAUCAGCUGUCCUGAAUUAUCUGAGACUAAGGGCUUUUCCAAGGAUGCAACAUUUACAGUGUUAAUGAAGAAAGCUUAGACAAACCAGAAUGGGUUCAAUUCAUCUCUCUAGAUUACCCACUGUUAAUAAUAUAGUGGUUGCUAUUGAUUUGUAUAUCUAAACAUAAGUUAGAAUCCUUCUUUCUAGGGCAAAAGAAGAACUUCUAUUUUUUUUCACCAUAAUAUACUAGAAAUUCCAUUUAAUGACAGUUCAACUGUCAGAGUUAGGAGAUAAUUAAAGGUCAUUUAGGGAUGAACAGGCCUUCCAUCUCCAGAGAAGAAUGACAACUAGUAGCAGUGGCCUCUGUGAAAUUGCCACCAAAUUCAACAAUGAGCAUUUAUCAGCCACUAGAAGAAGUCUCAUCAAAAUUACUGAUGGAAGUCAAAAUAGAUUUCUACACCUUGGACUGUCUUUUUCCUCCAAAAAUAAAGAGACUGGGACAGUCCCAUGUGGCAUUAUUCCUAAAAAUCCCCAUGACUUUGCUACACUUGUCUACUGUGCCUAUUUUUCAGCAUAUGGAUAAGAAAGGGCUGGGGAUAUUCUGGGGUAUUUGGUAAGAGCAAAACGAUGGGAUGGAAACAUUUUUAACCAGGCAAUUCUCUGGGCAAAAUUGAGAAGUAGAAUUUAACCUCUCCCAUGAAGUUGUUCCUAUUUUUGCCACUAUCUUGUUUCCUGAGCUUCCCAUUUGUUAAUUCACUCAAACACUCAUUCAUUCAUUCAUUUGUUCCUUCAGCAAAUGAAAGAAGAGUAGCAAUAUUACAAGAAAAAGGGUUAGAGUUAGAACAAAGGUCCUGUGGCAGGAAUACAUUUGAUUGAAGACCUGAAAGCAGACCAGAGAAUGGGCUGGAUAAGGAGGAAGGUAGAACAAGAUGGGGUCUGAAAACCAGGCAGGGCCCAGAUCACAUAGAACCCUAUCAUUAUUUAGUUGCCCCUCAAAAGUCUCAUGUGUCUAGAGGUAUAACUUUCAGGAGAUGAUUUGAUCAUGAGUGCACUAACCUCACCAGUGGAUGAAUCCAUUAUUGAGUUCAUAGCUGAAUGAGCUAUUUGUUAGAGGUGGAUCUCAGCUGGAGAAAGCAGAUCACUGGAGGGAUGUUUUCAAAGGAUAUAUAUUGUUUCUGACUCCUUCUUGGCCCCUCUG